CAAUGGGGGAACCCUGAUGCAGCGACGCCGCGUGGAGGAAGAAGGUCUUCGGAUUGUAAACUCCUGUUGUUGGGGAAGAUAAUGACGGUACCCAACAAGGAAGUGACGGCUAACUACGUGCCAGCAGCCGCGGUAAAACGUAGGUCACAAGCGUUGUCCGGAAUUACUGGGUGUAAAGGGAGCGCAGGCGGGAAGACAAGUUGGAAGUGAAAUCUAUGGGCUCAACCCAUAAACUGCUUUCAAAACUGUUUUUCUUGAGUAGUGCAGAGGUAGGCGGAAUUCCCGGUGUAGCGGUGGAAUGCGUAGAUAUCGGGAGGAACACCAGUGGCGAAGGCGGCCUACUGGGCACCAACUGACGCUGAGGCUCGAAAGUGUGGGUAGCAAACAGGAUUAGAUACCCUGGUAGUCCAAGGGCGAAUUC
rnacentral:rRNA from 1 species